UGAUAAAAACUUGCUUUCAUAUAUGAAGAUGAAGCAUUUGAGUGGCCACAUCAGGUGUCUGAGGUUUUUAGUACUGUUUGAUUUGGCAUGAGCCAUCCAUGGGGACUCAGUCUUUCUCGCAUCCAUUUCCAGGCAUUUUUGACAUGAUUAGCCAUGGAAUAAUGUUUAGUUCUGAAAUUGUGACACUGUCUUUAUUAAUACUGUAUUUUAAUCAAGUGACAUCACAGUCCAGGUAGUUUUUCUUUCUUUUUUUUUUUUUUGAAACAGAGUCUCACUCAUUCUGUAGCCCAGGCUAGAGUGCAGUGGCAGCAACAUCAGUUCACUGCAACGUCCGCCUCCUCAAUUCAAGAGAUUCUCCUGCUUCAGUCUCCCGAGUAGCUGGGAUUACAGCCUGCUGAACUGUAAAUUCUACCAUCUCCACUUUGCAGAUGAGGAAAUUGAGACUUUGACAAGUCAAAGAGCACAGCUGGAAUGCAAGUCAAAUAUGUACAAGGAUAUCCACAACACUGUUCGCAGCUACAAGCUGAGGUACAAGGUGCCUCAAAAGCUUGAGAGAAGCAGAAAUAGAAUAGAAUCCUGACCUGUGAAAACAAUGACUCUGCAAUAAGGUAUGCAAUUUCCAAACCACAGCUACUAGAAAAGGUACACUUUACCUUACCAC
rnacentral:lncRNA from 1 species